UCUCCGUUGGUGGACCAGCGGAGGGAUCAUUACCGAGUUUACAACUCCCAAACCCCUGUGAACAUACCUGUUUUGUUGCUUCGGCGGUGCCCUCGCUCUCGCGGCGAGGCCCGCCAGAGGACCCAAACAAACUCUUUGACUUUGAUCUAGGAUUAUACUUCUGAGUGAUACAAAAAAUAAAAUCAAAACUUUCAACAACGGAUCUCUUGGUUCUG
rnacentral:misc_RNA from 1 species